rnacentral:rRNA from 1 species
UUUGACCUCAAAUCAGGUUGGACUACCCGCUG